GACGAACGCUGGCGGCGUGCCUAAUACAUGCAAGUAGAACGCUGAAGGAGGAGCUUGCUUCUCUGGAUGAGUUGCGAACGGGUGAGUAACGCGUAGGUAACCUGCCUGGUAGCGGGGGAUAACUAUUGGAAACGAUAGCUAAUACCGCAUAAUAGUAGAUGUUGCAUGACAUUUGCUUAAAAGGUGCAAUUGCAUCACUACCAGAUGGACCUGCGUUGUAUUAGCUAGUUGGUGGGGUAACGGCUCACCAAGGCGACGAUACAUAGCAGACCUGAGAGGGGGAAGGGCAACCUGGGAACGGGAAAACGGCCCAGACUCUAAGGGGAGGCAGAAGAGGGGAAUAUUGGACAAGGGGGGAAAGCUUGACGGAGAACUCCGGCGGGGGGGAAGAAGGUUUCGGGUCGUAAAAGUCUUUUGUAAGGGAAGGAAGAGUGUGAGGGUGAAAAGUUCACACUGUGACGGUAUCUAACCAGAAAGGGACGGCUAACUACGUG
rnacentral:rRNA from 1 species